AGCAAUGCUUGAUCGUGUGUUUUUGUGUUUGCUGUAAUGAAAUGGGACGUAGUUAGCGUGCACAAAAGUGCCAGAAGAUACCUUGUGUCUCGCUGCAAACUCGGCGUAUGCGUGGCGCGCCAGGCAAACAUGCACCAACGAUUUUUGUGCCGUGGCCUUUGUGUCUGGUUGUCGUGGAAAGUUGGGUGGACAUCGCAAAGAAAUAAUUCCUAUUGGUAGCGUGCCUCAGAUCGUCGACUACGCAGCGGCAUGUAUGCUGGGAGUAACAUCGUCGACGCAGCACCGGCAACUUGGAGAGCGUCAUGCCAUUGAAAAGCAGUGUCCACGUGAUGGCAGGGAACCUGUGGCCAUGGCUACAGCAGAACAGUGUGUAAUCUGGAUGUCAGGUGAACGAUCUUAUCUGGCCUGAAUUCCUAUGGCGGCAAUGCACAACCACAUUGGGGAGGCUGAGGUUCAGGGCAAGAGCCUUUAUGGAAAGGGCAGUAACAGGCACAAGGAGGACCCAGUGAAGGAGGGAUUGGACCCAGUUCAUCUGAAUGCUGUAAUUGGUUACACCCUCCAGCAAGUUCACGACAACAACUGUGCAGCUCAAAAGCAGCCUGUCCUCCAUGCUAAGCAGGGAGAUUAAGUAGCUUGGAAAGCAGGUGGUCCUGUAAAUACAGGGUGUUUUUUUAGCUGCACAAAAUUUUUAAAAUUAGAAAUAUAUAUAUAUAUAUAUCUUGGUCACGUUAGGUUUACCAUUCGAGUGUACGGAUUGGCGGCUGUAGAUACAGAGCAAUUUAGUCACUUAAGUGUGUAAUUUGUGAAGUUGAGCUAAUUAACUUUCUAAUUAUCAACUAUAGGUGGCUACAACAAAUGAGUACUUUGGGGCCCGUCGUCGACACUACCUAUCCCAAAGAUCACAUUUUGAAUAGCGGAGUUCAUGUGGGAGCUACACGAACAAUUAGUUCCCCUUGGCAGGCUCCUUGAAACCGAAAAUGGCCGCAAAAAGAGCGUCUGUGUCGUC